rnacentral:rRNA from 1 species
CCCUUAGAUGUUCUGGGCCGCACGCGCGCUACACUGACGAAUGCAACGAGCUUAUAACCUUGGCCGAAAGGUCUGGGUAAUCUCCAAAUUUCGUCGUGAUGGGGAUAGAUUAUUGCAAUUAUUAAUCUUCAACGAGGAAUGCCUAGUAAGCGCAAGUCAUCAGCUUGCGUUGAUUACGUCCCUGCCCUUUGUACACACCGCCCGUCGCUCCUACCGAUUGAAUGGUCCGGUGAAGCGUUCGGACCGUGGCCUUUGGACGGUUCGCCGUCUGUUGGCUGCGGGAAGUUCGUUAAACCUUAUCAUUUAGAGGAAGGAGAAGUCGCANCA